ensembl:lncRNA
UGCUUAUGUGAAAAGGAAAGAGUCGGAUGACAAAAUUGAGCAAAAUUGCAGCAGUAGACUGCUGACAUUGUGGGCAAUGAGGUUUUGUACUGAGUCACAUGCCUAGACAUGGACACCAGCUGCUAUUUCCCUUUCUACUUAGUGACUUCCAGAAUCACGCAGGCUAGACAAAAACAUGUACCAGAGACACUGCAUCUUUUCCACACAUGAAAAAGAACACAAGGCAUGAUGGGUAAGCAGCGUGCCCAGAAUUGCUCUGCACUCUUUCCACUUUAUUCAGCAUGGAGGAUAAAUCUUAAGCUAAGCAAAUAAAACAAAAUAAAGACUUAGAGAAGAGAUAGCACAUUUGUUACAUGUGAAUUUCGAGAAGUACAUCUAAGACAAACCCUAUAAAAUACAAAUGACCAUCCACAGAGAAAUAUUUCAGUUUUACUUUCUAAAUUUACCCUGAUUUUAUGUCAUGAGUUAUUUUGAUCAAAGGCUUUUGGGUUCUAAAACUGUUGAUUAUUAAAACACAGUACAUGACCGUAAAUUAAUGAAUGAAUUAAUUAAUUAAAAAUAAUAUUAUUUUUAAAAUGCUUUUUAUUUUAUUUAUUUUUUUAUUUAUUUUUAUUUUUAUUACAUUUAUUUUACAUUAGUAACAAUUAGUAAAAAAAUAUAUAUAUUUUCAUAUAUUCAUACUUUAAUCUAGGCCUACAUGUACUGCUCUGAUGUUUGAAAAAAGAAUGUUAGCAUGUAUAAACAGUAUAUAAUUCUGAAUAAAUACCAUAAACCAUACAUAAAAUAUGAAUUUAGUAAUAAUAUAUUUGAGAUAAAAAUAUAAUUUACUGAUCAAUAAAUAUUCAAAGUAUUAUACAUAUUAUAUAUUUCAUGUUACAUUGAUAUUUAAUCUUAUAAUGUGUAUUAAAUAUUAUGUUGAUAUAUUUAAUAUUAUGAAUAUUUAUUAUUUUCAUUAUUGCAUUCGUUAAACUAUUUAGAUAGGCCUAUUUUAAAUAUAUAUGUGUGUGUGUGUGUGUGUGUGUGUGUGUGUGUGUGUGUGUGUGUGUGUGGUUAGGUAAUUUAAAAUAUAUCUAAUGUUAAUAGAACUUGU